CAAGAGCGUAUGUAAAAGUUGUUGCAGUUAAAAAGCUCGUAGUUGAACCUUGGGUUUGGUUGGCCGGUCCGCUUUUUUGCGAGUACUGGAUUCAACCGAGCCUUUCCUUCUGGCUAACCAGUCGUUUCGGCGGCUGGCGAACCAGGAUUUUUACUUUGAGAAAAUUAGAGUGUUCAAAGCAGGCAUCAGCUUGAAUAUAUUAGCAUGGAAUAAUAGAAUAGGACGUUAUGGUUCUAUUUUGUUGGUUUCUAGGACCAUCGUAAUGAUUAAUAGGGACGGUCGGGGGCAUCAGUAUUCAGUUGUCAGAGGUGAAAUUCUUGGAUUUACUGAAGACUAACUACUGCGAAAGCAUUUGCCAAGGACGUUUUCAUUAA
rnacentral:rRNA from 1 species